rnacentral:sRNA from 9 species
AUAUCUCUCUGUACGGGAAGGAUGAGAAGCUUCGACCAGGGUUCGAUUCGAGCGCAGCGAGAAAGCGUUGCCGCAGGCAACGACCCGAAGGGCGAAGCGCGCAGCGCUGAGUCAUCCUUCCCCCACCACCA